GACGUAGGGGGCGAGCGUUGUCCGGAUUUAUUGGGCGUAAAGAGCGUGUAGGCGGCUUUACAGGUCCGUUGUGAAAACUCGAGGCUCAACCUCGAGACGCCGGUGGAAACCGUAAGGCUAGAGUCCGGAAGAGGAGAGUGGAAUUCCUGGUGUAGCGGUGAAAUGCGCAGAUAUCAGGAGGAACACCGGUGGCGAAGGCGGGUCUCUGGGCCGAUACUGACGCUGAGGAGCGAAAGCGUGGGGAGCGAACAGG
rnacentral:rRNA from 1 species